ACUGAGGUUGGUCCUGAUUCAUCUUCUCAGUAGACUGUAUCAUGGGAAACGCCUCAUAGAGAAAAUCUGUAGCCUCGCUUUACCCAUAUGUUCACCUUUUCUUGAGCAUGUGGGAUAAUGCUCCAGUACAGAC